rnacentral:rRNA from 1 species
AUUGAACGCUGGCGGCAGGCUUAACACAUGCAAGUCGAGCGGGGUGAUGGUGCUUGCACUAUCACUUAGCGGCGGACGGGUGAGUAAUGCUUAGGAAUCUGCCUAUUAGUGGGGGACAACAUCUCGAAAGGGAUGCUAAUACCGCAUACGUCCUACGGGAGAAAGCAGGGGAUCACUUGUGACCUUGCGCUAAUAGAUGAGCCUAAGUCGGAUUAGCUAGUUGGUGGGGUAAAGGCCUACCAAGGCGACGAUCUGUAGCGGGUCUGAGAGGAUGAACCGCCAAACUGGGACUGGGACCCGGCCCAGACUCCUACGGGGGGCAGGAGUGGGGAAUAUUGGAAAAUGGGGGGAACCCUGAUCCAGCCAUGCCGCGUGUGUGAAGAAGGCCUUAUGGUUGUAAAGCACUUUAAGCGAGGAGGAGGCUCUUUUGGUUAAUACCCAAGAUGAGUGGACGUUACUCGCAGAAUAAGCACCGGCUAACUCUGUGCCAGCAGCCGCCGUAA